rnacentral:rRNA from 1 species
UACGUAGGCAGCGAGCGUUGUUCGGAGUUACUGGGCGUAAAGGGUGUGUAGGCGGUUGUUUAAGUUUGGUGUGAAAUCUCCCGGCUCAACUGGAGGGUGCGCCGAAUACUGAAUGACUUCGAGUGCGGGAGAGGUGAGUGGAAUUCCUGGUGUAGCGGUGAAAUGCGUAGAUAUCAGGAGGAACACCGGUGGUGUAGACGGCUCACUGGACCGUAACUGACGCUGAGACACGAAAGCGUGGGUAGCAAACAGG